GACAGCAGUAGCCACGGUAAUACAGAGGGUGCAAGCGUUAAUCGGAAUUACUGGGCGUAAAGCGCGCGUAGGUGGUUCGCCAAGUUGGAUGUGAAAUCCCCGGGCUCAACCUGGGGACUGCAUCCAAAACUGGCGAGCUAGAGUAUGGUAGAGGGUGGUGGAAUUUCCUGUGUAGCGGUGAAAUGCGUAGAUAUAGGAAGGAACAUCAGUGGCGAAGGCGACCACCUGGACUGAUACUGACACUGAGGUGCGAAAGCGUGGGGAGCAAACAGGAUUAGAUACCCCAGUAGUCCCUGUCUCUUAUAC
rnacentral:rRNA from 1 species